rnacentral:rRNA from 1 species
UACGGAAGGCAGCAGUGGGGAAUAUUGCACAAUGGGCGCAAGCCUGAUGCAGCCAUGCCGCGUGUAUGAAGAAGGCCUUCGGGUUGUAAAGUACUUUCAGUCGUGAGGAAGGUGUUAAGGUUAAUAACCUUAGCAAUUGACGUUAGCGACAGAAGAAGCACCGGCUAACUCCGUGCCAGCAGCCGCGGUAAUACGGAGGGUGCGAGCGUUAAUCGGAAUUACUGGGCGUAAAGGGCACGCAGGCGGUUAAUUAAGUUGGAUGUGAAAUCCCCGGGCUUAACCUGGGAAUGGCAUUCAAGACUGGUUAGCUAGAGUCUUGUAGAGGGGGUUAGAAUUCCAUGUGUAGCGGUGAAAUGCGUAGAGAUGUGGAGGAAUACCGGUGGCGAAGGCGGCCCCUGGGACAAAGGACUGACGCUCAUGUGCGAAAGCGUGGGGAGCAAACAGGGAUUAGAUACC